GGGGACGCGCAGGUUCGACAGGGAGCCGUCUUCGCAAGAUUGCAGGCCGAGGCGCCACGCACCGCGUUAAAAGUGGCAAAAAAGUAACUGGCAACGACAAAGAGUUUGCCCUAGCCGCCUAACCGCGGCUACAUCCGCCAUCUCUUCCCUCCGAGAGGGGUGACCGGGUGCCAUAUUAUCGGGGGAAAGCCUGACAGACGCCGAUACGAAAAGGCUUAACCCAUCGGCUGGCUCUGCGAAGUGACCCGUCGGUAGGCGCUUCAUAGAGCGAGACUCAAUUACCGACUAAGCCUGUAGUACAUCUUAGCCGAAGGGUUUUCUGGACGGGGAGUGCGACUCUCCCCCGUCUCCACCA
rnacentral:tmRNA from 1 species